rnacentral:rRNA from 1 species
GACGAACGCUGGCGGCGUGCUUAACACAUGCAAGUCGAACGGAAAGGCCCUGCUUUUGUGGGGUGCUCGAGUGGCGAACGGGUGAGUAACACGUGAGUAACCUGCCCUUGACUUUGGGAUAACUUCAGGAAACUGGGGCUAAUACCGGAUAGGAGCUCCUGCUGCAUGGUGGGGGUUGGAAAGUUUCGGCGGUUGGGGAUGGACUCGCGGCUUAUCAGCUUGUUGGGGGGGUAAUGGCUUACCAAGGCUUUGACGGGUCGCCGGCCUGAGAGGGGGACCGGCCGGACAGGGACGGAGACACGGUGGAGACUCCUACGGGAGGCAGCAGUGGGGAAGAGUGGACCAGGGGGGAAACGCUGAUCCAGAGAUGUCGGGGGAGUGAUGAAGGGCUUAGGGUGGUAAAGCGCCGGGAAACGUGAGGAGAAUGAGAGUACGGGGAAAAGAAGAUACGGCUAACUACGUG